rnacentral:rRNA from 1 species
GGGACACGUGGUAUCCUGUCUGAAUAUGGGGGGACCAUCCUCCAAGGCUAAAUACUCCUGACUGACCGAUAGUGAACCAGUACCGUGAGGGAAAGGCGAAAAGAACCCCGGCGAGGGGAGUGAAAAAGAACCUGAAACCGUGUACGUACAAGCAGUGGGAGCACCUUCGGGUGUGACUGCGUACCUUUUGUAUAAUGGGUCAGCGACUUAUAUUCUGUAGCAAGGUUAACCGUAUAGGGGAGCCGCAGGGAAACCGAGUCUUAACUGGGCGUUAAGUUGCAGGGUAUAGACCCGAAACCCGGUGAUCUAGCCAUGGGCAGGUUGAAGGUUGGGUAACACUAACUGGAGGACCGAACCGACUAAUGUUGAAAAAUUAGCGGAUGACUUGUGGCUGGGGGUGAAAGGCCAAUCAAACCGGGAGAUAGCUGGUUCUCCCCGA